GACGAACGCUGGCGGCGUGCUUAACACAUGCAAGUCGAACGGUAAGGCCCUUCGGGGUACACGAGUGGCGAACGGGUGAGUAACACGUGGGUGAUCUACCCUGCACUUUGGGAUAAGCCUGGGAAACUGGGUCUAAUACCGGAUAGGACCCUGGGAUGCAUGUCCUGGGGUGGAAAGCUUUUGCGGUGUGGGAUGGGCCCGCGGCCUAUCAGCUUGUUGGUGGGGUGAUGGCCUACCAAGGCGACGACGGGUAGCCGGCCUGAGAGGGUGACCGGCCACACUGGGACUGAGAUACGGCCCAGACUCCUACGGGAGGCAGCAGUGGGGAAUAUUGCACAAUGGGCGCAAGCCUGAUGCAGCGACGCCGCGUGAGGGAUGACGGCCUUCGGGUUGUAAACCUCUUUCAGCACCGACGAAGCGCAAGUGACGGUAGGUGCAGAAGAAGGACCGGCCAACUACGUGCCAGCCGCCGCGGUAA
rnacentral:rRNA from 1 species